rnacentral:rRNA from 1 species
UACGAAGGUUGCAAGCGUUGUUCGGAAUCACUGGGCUUAAAGCGUACGUAGGCGGCUCAAUAAGUACCUUGUGAAAUCCCCCGGCUCAACCGGGGAAUUGCUUGGUAUACUGUUAGAGCUUGAGGCAAGUAGAGGCGCGUGGAACUCUUGGUGGAGCGGUGGAAUGCGUAGAUAUCAAGAGGAACGCCGGUGGCGAAAGCGGCGCGCUGGGCUUGUCCUGACGCUGAGGUACGAAAGCCAGGGGAGCAAACGGG